UACGGAGGGUCCAAGCGUUAUCCGGAAUUACUGGGUUUAAAGGGUGCGUAGGCGGCCUGAUAAGUCAGAGGUGAAAGACUACCGCUUAACGGUGGAACUGCCUUUGAUACUGUUGGGCUAGAAUAUGGAUGAGGUUAGCGGAAUGCGGCAUGUAGCGGUGAAAUGCGUAGAUAUGCCGUAGAACACCAAUUGCGAAGGCAGCUGACUAGACCAUUAUUGACGCUGAGGCACGAAAGCGUGGGUAUCGAACAGG
rnacentral:rRNA from 1 species